UAAUCAACUACAAUUACAGAGAAGGUUGUGGUUUCAGAGAGUAAGACAACUUCAAACUACUGUACGGCCAUUAAAGCUGCAGUAUGGUGGGAGGCAUCUAAGCAUUUACUGUGUCAGAACCUCCUUCGUAACAGCAUAGCUUGCCACGAAUGCUCAGGCCAGGUAGCAUGUCCACCUGAGACGGCGGAUAAAGUUUUCCUGUGACGAUGGUAAACAGCCGGAAACCAGGGAGUCGAGAUGUGGAGCCUGCGCUCACACUCCCGUGUGCCGCACCGUGACCAACGCACAGCCCCGCUUUUAGCAGCACUCCCACGAGAAAGGCAGGGAAAGACGGGACGACAUGCAGGCAUCUUCGAGAUGAACAACUUAAAGAUUUCACUCAGAAACUCUUAAGAAAAAGGCUGAUCGUUUUUGCAAACCUGGCAUCUAUUAACACAUGACUUUAUCUAGCAAUCCAACAAUUUAAUGCAAAAAAACCCUUCAAUUCGACAAACUGAUUUUAGACACAUUUCACACGCAGCAGA